rnacentral:rRNA from 1 species
GUGGUCAGGAUGAUUAUUGGGCCUAAAGCAUCCGUAGCCGGCUCUGUAAGUUUUCGGUUAAAUCUGUACGCUCAACGUACAGGCUGCCGGGAAUACUGCAGAGCUAGGGAGUGGGGAGAGGUAGACGGUACUCGGUAGGAAGGGGUAAAAUCCUUUGAUCUAUUGAUGACCACCUGUGGCGAAGGCGGUCUACCAGAACACGUCCGACGGUGAGGGAUGAAAGCUGGGGGAGCAAACCGGAUUAGAUACCCGGGUAGUCCCAGCUGUAAACUAUGCAAACUCAGUGAUGCAUUGGCUUGUGGCCAAUGCAGUGCUGCAGGGAAGCCGUUAAGUUUGCCGCCUGGGAAGUACGUACGCAAGUAUGAAACUUAAAGGAAUUGGCGGGGGAGCACCACAAGGGGUGAAGCCUGCGGUUCAAUUGGAGUCAACGCCAGAAAUCUUACCCGGAGAGACAGCAGAAUGAAGGUCAAGCUGAAGACUUUACCAGACAAGCUGAGAGGUGGUGCAUGGCC